ensembl:lncRNA
GUUUGUUUGUCUUGGAGUGUGUGUCUACCAGCAGCAUGAGGGCGGCUUUGUCGAGAUAACAUGCAACGGUACAGAGAGUCCUCACAUGCUUCAGUGCCAUGGAUGGCGUCACGCAGCCUUGCCUUCAAUAUGACCCACAUCGUCAAAUUGACAGAAUAUUCUGGGGAGCAGCAUGCCGUGCAGUUCCCUGCUGUCCGCUCUGUGACCCCUCUGAAGUUACACCGAUUUCCAUGAAGCCUUGAAAAGGGAGGGGAGCUGCAAGCCGAUCCACGCUCGCCACCAUCAACAAGGCGUAGAUCCGAACUCCCUCUGACGUCUUGAUGUCACAGCCUCUGUACGUACAAGCAGGACUGAGCGCCAUUAGAGCCUCCAGUUGAUUUGUGUUCAUUAGUGAGAAAAUGUAUGUUGUACAUCGUAAAAAAAAAUGAAAUACAUUUUUUCUCAAUUUUGACUGCAAAAACUGCUUAGUUUUUACAGUUGUUUGCUGUGAAAUCUCUCCAAGACACGCAAAGACAGAGCGGAG